AAAUUCUUUGGGAUUAAGGAUGGUGAGGAGUUUUAUAGACAAUCUUUUGUGGGUUAACCCUUUGGCCUGUCGUAUCCCGGUUAAAGCAAAAUCUAUGAGGAACACUGUUUCAUGUAGGAAGCCUGAUGAGGGUAAAAUGAAGUUCAAAGGUGAUGGCCAAGUUAGGAAGAGCAGUGGAGCUGCUUACUAUAGAUAUCAACAUAGUUGAGUUGAUGAGAUUUAAAACGGCUUUGGAAAUGUGAUGUUUCCGAUGCUUGUGGCUUGAUUUCACUCCAUCAUCGCUUUGAACUACAUCAGCAAAACCAAAGGUUAGACCAUUGAGGCUGUGCCAAACUUGAAGGAGAUGGAUUUCUAGCAUCAAAGAUGCCUUGUUUCAUCAAAAUGGAAUGCAUGUUAACUAUGUUCAAUUAAAAAGAAAAAGAAGAGGUGCAAGGGAAAGAGACUUUUAACCUCCGAUUCAUCUAUAUGUGCGAUUCUGGUUCUGAGCAGAGAAAGAGGUUUGUUUAUGGAAGGCUUUUAAGUCCUCUCCAUCUGAUAUUGGAGUCAAAUACCAUUAAUGCUGGUAACCUAAGUAUGACCUGGUAUACUAGCAAUUUAAAUGCUUGCAUUACAUAAUAAUGACUUAAGUUUAAGCCAGAAAAACAGGGAAAAAAAUGCAGUAACAAUUAUCUAUAUUCCAAAGAAUGUCAUGAAAGUUUAUAUUCUGACACGAGGCAUUGGUUAUUUUGUAGUUUUCUUGUUGGUAUCUCUUCGAGUCUAUUUAAAAAGAAAAAAGAAAAAAAAAGGCUAAACUUAUAAAUUGGUACCUAAAUAUUUCAUUUUUCUCAUUUUGGUACUUAAACAUUUAUUAGGUCAAAUGUUAUCUAAACUAUUUUUUUUUCUUAAGUUGUACCUUGUUAGUUCGAAUGUUAGUCAAAUAAUUAAGUCUAUAUCAAAAAAAAGAUAACCAAUUAAAAAUUAUCAUGUGGUAAAAAAAAAACAAAGUAUUACUUUCUCUUUAUAUAUGUACUUUAUAUUUUCUUUCUUUUUCUUUCUUCUUCCUUAUCUUAGACUUUUUCUACAAGUGUGAGCAUUUCGAGUUUUAUGGUUUUAUCAAGAUUUUUAAAAUUGGAUCAAUGGUUAAACCAGUCAAGCCACUACUUCUUGAUUGAUCGAUUCAUUUGGUUCGAUCAAAUUAAUUAUUAAAAAAUUUAUAAAAAUAAAAAAGAAUGAAAAUAAAGAAAAUUGAUUCAACUAAAUUUUUAGCUCGGUUCAACUGGUUUGUAUCGACUCGCGGGUCAACCAAUUCAACGCUAUCUUCAUACCAGUACCUCGAUUGAUUCUCGGUUCAAUCAAUUGAUUCUGUUCAGUUUUGAAAACAUUGGUUUUGAUUAACGAAAGAAUUUUUUCAAUCCCGUCAAGUUGAGCAAGCAAGAAGUGAAGUUCGAAAACAAUAUUAAUCGCUAGUGUCUCAAUCUCAGGAGAGCAAAUUUCGAGCAUUACUAACAUUGUCAAAUAUUUUAAAGGAAUAAGAAAAAAAAGAAAAAAAAAGAAUUAUUUUUUAAAAAAGUUUUUAUGAAGUGGCGGCCUAUUAUUGGUUGGAAUUUUUUUAAUAGAUUUAACGUUUUAGUCUUUGCCAACAACUUCUUAAUUUAGUGGCAAGAGUAUUACGAAUAGUUUAUGUACCAAUUUAAAAAAAAUGAUAUAAUUUAAGUAAUAAUUGGUGGAUUCAACAUUUUUUAAAUAAAUUUAAUAGUUUGAUUAAAAGUUAAAUUAAUGAAUGUACAAACUUGAAAAACACAAGUUGCUUAGAUACCAUUUAUAAAAAAAAAAAAAAGAGAAUUAAAUAGUAAAAUAAGAAAAAAAAUUACUUUAAAUACCAAUUUAUAAAUUAAACCUAGAGAAGAAUCCCAAAAUGUUUAUGUUUUGGUGGGCUUGGGCUUUAAUUCUGUUGUUGUUAAUUAAGAAGCAUCGUUACCUUAAAAAAAUUAAUUAAUUAAGAAGCGACUUAAAUGAGCUACGACAAUAUUUGUUUACUCGUCUACAUGAGAUUAAUCUAUAAACUAUAUAUAAAAGGAAUUUACAUGAUAUAUAUUAAAGUUAAAAGAUUUUUUUUUAAAAUAUUAAGAUGAUGGUUAAAUUUUAAUUUUGAUGUUUUUAUUUUAAUAGUAGAAUUUUAACUUUGGUUUUUAUAUCAUGUUUAAAAUUUAAUCUUUAUAUUUUAAUUUUUUUUAUAUAAUUUUGGUAUCUCAAUUUUUGUAAUGUGACGUGUUCCUUACAUGACACGCGUCAAAGUCUCUUUUUUUUUGUAAUAGUAUCAUAAAAGGUCCUAUACUAGGAGUUAGAUUACAUUUUACUCAUUCUACAUAAAAAAAGGCAAAUUAGUCCAUAUAGGUUUGAUCAAAGAGCAAAUUGGUCCUUUUAGUUAAAAUUUUCAUUCAUUUGUACUAUUAAAAACUGACGUAGCUGAUGGAAUAAUCAAACAAUAAUAUGUAGCGUGCCAUGUGUACCACAUGCUAACAUAUAAGGACCAAAUUUUAACAACAGAAUUGGAUGAAAUUUUUAAUAGAAGGGCCAAUUUGCUCUUUGAUCUAAUGUACGUGGACUAUAUUGCCCAUUUUUUAGUAGAGGUGGCAAAAUACAAUCUGACUCCUAGUACAGGGGCCUCCAUAGUACUUUUACCGUCUUUUCUUUUUUAUUACUUUAUAAGAUAAUGGUCAUGUUUUAAUUUUGAUCCCUUUACUUCUUUUUUUAAGAUUAUAUAACAAUAGUCAAUUUUCAAUUUUGAUCUCAGCUCAAAUUUAAGAUUUAAUAUAUAUACUUUAAUUUUUGUGGCAUAUUUGACACCUCAACUUUUACAAUGCUAUUAGUUAAUCUAAAUAUUUUAUUCUAAUUAAAAUGUUGACGUGAAUUUUGAUUUAAUAAUUAGAUCAAAUGGUAACAUGAUUAUAAAAAUUAUAUUUCAGAAAAGGAGUUCCAUUCAAAUUUAAGAAUACCUUAAGUAUUAAUACAUGCAUGGAAAUUGUUUACUUCACUGAUAAUAGCAUUUCUUCUUAAUUAUUAAUUAUAUUUGGGGAAUUUGUUAUUUAUAUUUAUAUAAAGAGAUUCUUUACAUUAAAAGAAUUAAAUAUGUUUGUAAUGAUAGAAUUAAGUGGAGGGCUAUCAAAAUCUAUAAUCCUAGUAUUUAGCUUUUCUUAAGAGGAUUGCUUUGAGUGCAAAAAAAAGAAAGAAAAAUGUGUAUUUUAAUGGACAAAAUCAAUAAAAAGGUGAAAUUUGAAGCUUAAUAUGCAUGAUUUAAAAAUAGUUGUAGAAGCCAAAGAUUUCAUAUAAUAUAAAGACAAACCAAAAUUGCAAACUUUGGUAUUUCAAAUCCAAUUGAAUAAAAUAUAAUGAAGCUUUGGAUAGAAAUGAUGUGUUUUACAUUCAACUUCAUCAGUGAAGUUAAAGAAUUUAAAUAAAAUAUAUAUGGGAUUUGGAGCGAUAUGUAGCAUAUUAAAUACUUAAAUGAAAAUUUUUAUUUAAUUAAUUUUAUUUUAAAUUUAUUAUACUUAAUAAAUAUAUAUUUCCAAAUUGAAAAUUAUUCUACAGCUAUUUUAUUUUUGCUUAACUGAGAAAUGGUAAGUACCUUCAUGCCUUGUGUAGAAGCCCAAAUUUGUUGGGCCCAGUAUCUAAACCAGAGACCCAAUAACAAUGGCCCAAAAUAACCAGGCCCAAAAUAACCAGGCCCAAAAAAAUCAACUUUCAGCAAACCCUAGUGGCCUCCCUGAGCCCUAGCGCCAUCUGCCCAAGUCCCUUGGCACCGCACGUUCCCUGGUCGGCCUUUAGCGCCACCACCGCUCGACUCACCAAUCGACGACUUUGUGUCUGCCUCGUCACAUCAGUCGCCUGCAAAACAGAGAACACACGCAACAGAGAAACAACAAAAAGGAAACAACAACAUGCAGAACGACAAACGAACGAUCCAAGGCACAAAACGUCAAAAUAGAAAUCUAGGGAUUUUUUAAAUCGGUUAUAUAAACCGAAAUCGGAACUGUAAUGCUUCUUCUUCGAUUUUCCUUGUAACGAACACACAUAUAUUGAAAUCAAAAAAUCGAGAUUAAGAAAAAGGUUUUUUGAACUGCUUUUCUCUUCAUUUUCUUAAAUUUUUUUGUGUAUAUAUUUAUUUCUUUUAUUUUUAUUUUAUUUUUUCGCGAAUCGAUUCUAAACAAAAAAUAAUCAAAAAAUAAAAGGAAAGAAACCACCUGAAUCGGCCCCUGAAGCCGUCGUCGUCGUCGGCCCUUCGCCGUCGUCAGACGCAAGUUUAGAUAGGGGCCCGAAGCUUUUCUUUUUCCCGUCGUUUCCCCCCGUUCCUUGGCCUCGAUCUCUGAGUGCGCUUCAACGCGCGGCCUGAAGGCGCCCUUGCAUGGCUCCGGCCACCGGGCAGGGGAAGGCGUGACGGCGGCGGGCCUGGAACCCUAGCAGAGAAAAGGGAUUUCCCUUUUCAUUUUUUUUCUUGCGUUCUUUGCAGAGAAUGAAGCAGCAGAAAAUAAAGCAAAAUUUUAGCCUUUAUUGUGAUUGCAAUACGGCGCCGUUUAAGGGGGAGAUUGCGCAUUUUUGCCCUGAUGGGUAAUUUAUGAAUUUAGUCCCUCCGUUUUGCGCUGAAGCGCAAUCCAACUUUCUGCUUCUUUUAGAUUUGGG
rnacentral:lncRNA from 1 species